UACGUAGGAGACGAGCGUUGUCCGGAGUUACUGGGCGUAAAGAGCUCGUAGGUGGUUCGGUAAGUCGGAUGUGAAAUCUCCAGGCUCAACCUGGAGGGGUCAUUCGAUACUGCCGUGACUAGAGUUCGGUAGGGGAGUGUGGAAUUCCUGGUGGAGCGGUGAAAUGCGCAGAUAUCAGGAGGAACACCCGUAGCGAAGGCGGCACUCUGGGCCGAUACUGACACUGAGGAGCGAAAGCGUGGGGAGCGAACAGG
rnacentral:rRNA from 1 species